UGUGAGCUCGAUGAGUAGGGCGGGACACGUGGUAUCCUGUCUGAAUAUGGGGGGACCAUCCUCCAAGGCUAAAUACUCCUGACUGACCGAUAGUGAACCAGUACCGUGAGGGAAAGGCGAAAAGAACCCCGGCGAGGGGAGUGAAAAAGAACCUGAAACCGUGUACGUACAAGCAGUGGGAGCACGCUUAGGCGUGUGACUGCGUACCUUUUGUAUAAUGGGUCAGCGACUUAUAUUCUGUAGCAAGGUUAACCGAAUAGGGGAGCCGAAGGGAAACCGAGUCUUAACUGGGCGUUAAGUUGCAGGGUAUAGACCCGAAACCCGGUGAUCUAGCCAUGGGCAGGUUGAAGGUUGGGUAACACUAACUGGAGGACCGAACCGACUAAUGUUGAAAAAUUAGCGGAUGACUUGUGGCUGGGGGUGAAAGGCCAAUCAAACCGGGAGAUAGCUGGUUCUCCCCGAAAGCUAUUUAGGUAGCGCCUCGUGAAUUCAUCUCCGGGGGUAGAGCACUGUUUCGGCAAGGGGGUCAUCCCGACUUACCAACCCGAUGCAAACUGCGAAUACCGGAGAAUGUUAUCACGGGAGACACACGGCGGGUGCUAACGUCCGUCGUGAAGAGGGAAACAACCCAGACCGCCAGCUAAGGUCCCAAAGUCAUGGUUAAGUGGGAAACGAUGUGGGAAGGCCCAGACAGCCAGGAUGUUGGCUUAGAAGCAGCCAUCAUUUAAAGAAAGCGUAAUAGCUCACUGGUCGAGUCGGCCUGCGCGGAAGAUGUAACGGGGCUAAACCAUGCACCGAAGCUGCGGCAGCGACGCUGAUGCGUUGUUGGGUAGGGGAGCGUUCUGUAAGCCUGUGAAGGUGUACUGUGAGGUAUGCUGGAGGUAUCAGAAGUGCGAAUGCUGACAUAAGUAACGAUAAAGCGGGUGAAAAGCCCGCUCGCCGGAAGACCAAGGGUUCCUGUCCAACGUUAAUCGGGGCAGGGUGAGUCGACCCCUAAGGCGAGGCCGAAAGGCGUAGUCGAUGGGAAACAGGUUAAUAUUCCUGUACUUGGUGUUACUGCGAAGGGGGGACGGAGAAGGCUAUGUUGGCCGGGCGACGGUUGUCCCGGUUUAAGCGUGUAGGCUGGUUUUCCAGGCAAAUCCGGAAAAUCAAGGCUGAGGCGUGAUGACGAGGCACUACGGUGCUGAAGCAACAAAUGCCCUGCUUCCAGGAAAAGCCUCUAAGCAUCAGGUAACAUCAAAUCGUACCCCAAACCGACACAGGUGGUCAGGUAGAGAAUACCAAGGCGCUUGAGAGAACUCGGGUGAAGGAACUAGGCAAAAUGGUGCCGUAACUUCGGGAGAAGGCACGCUGAUAUGUAGGUGAAGCGACUUGCUCGUGGAGCUGAAAUCAGUCGAAGAUACCAGCUGGCUGCAACUGUUUAUUAAAAACACAGCACUGUGCAAACACGAAAGUGGACGUAUACGGUGUGACGCCUGCCCGGUGCCGGAAGGUUAAUUGAUGGGGUUAGCGCAAGCGAAGCUCUUGAUCGAAGCCCCGGUAAACGGCGGCCGUAACUAUAACGGUCCUAAGGUAGCGAAAUUCCUUGUCGGGUAAGUUCCGACCUGCACGAAUGGCGUAAUGAUGGCCAGGCUGUCUCCACCCGAGACUCAGUGAAAUUGAACUCGCUGUGAAGAUGCAGUGUACCCGCGGCAAGACGGAAAGACCCCGUGAACCUUUACUAUAGCUUGACACUGAACAUUGAGCCUUGAUGUGUAGGAUAGGUGGGAGGCUUUGAAGUGUGGACGCCAGUCUGCAUGGAGCCGACCUUGAAAUACCACCCUUUAAUGUUUGAUGUUCUAACGUUGACCCGUAAUCCGGGUUGCGGACAGUGUCUGGUGGGUAGUUUGACUGGGGCGGUCUCCUCCUAAAGAGUAACGGAGGAGCACGAAGGUUGGCUAAUCCUGGUCGGACAUCAGGAGGUUAGUGCAAUGGCAUAAGCCAGCUUGACUGCGAGCGUGACGGCGCGAGCAGGUGCGAAAGCAGGUCAUAGUGAUCCGGUGGUUCUGAAUGGAAGGGCCAUCGCUCAACGGAUAAAAGGUACUCCGGGGAUAACAGGCUGAUACCGCCCAAGAGUUCAUAUCGACGGCGGUGUUUGGCACCUCGAUGUCGGCUCAUCACAUCCUGGGGCUGAAGUAGGUCCCAAGGGUAUGGCUGUUCGCCAUUUAAAGUGGUACGCGAGCUGGGUUUAGAACGUCGUGAGACAGUUCGGUCCCUAUCUGCCGUGGGCGCUGGAGAACUGAGGGGGGCUGCUCCUAGUACGAGAGGACCGGAGUGGACGCAUCACUGGUGUUCGGGUUGUCAUGCCAAUGGCACUGCCCGGUAGCUAAAUGCGGAAGAGAUAAGUGCUGAAAGCAUCUAAGCACGAAACUUGCCCCGAGAUGAGUUCUCCCUGACUCCUUGAGAGUCCUGAAGGAACGUUGAAGACGACGACGUUGAUAGGCCGGGUGUGUAAGCGCAGCGAUGCGUUGAGCUAACCGGUACUAAUGAACCGUGAGGCUUAACCUUACAACGCCGAAG
rnacentral:rRNA from 1 species